UCUGUGGAGCAAAAAAUUAGAGCGUUUCAGAACAAUACCCUGAGAAGGUGUUUGGGUUUAACACCCUCCACCCCGACUCACAAUAUAUAUGUACUAGCGAAUGAGUUUGAACCUAGAGAAAGGGAAACAUUUCUAACUUGUCGUGAAUUGAUACAAGUUAAAUUUGGUGAUCCGGAAGUUUUUGAUUGUAUUAAAGUCAAAUCGCUUAACAGGGAAGGCCAAGCUCGUGAUUGCACAUUUGGAAGUAGGCAUUUUUCUGCCUUUUUGGUUUGUUUGGAGAUAUUUGAUAAUUGGCGUGUAUCUAAGCCGAAGCCCUGAAAGUUGACAACAAGAGUGUGGAGAAACGCUUUAAGUUCAUCGAUCACCCUGGCCUGUGGGAGUGUCCGGCCAUUUAAUACUCUCAACAAUCAAAAAAAAAACAAAAGGCCAUUUCAGGAAAAACACCAGGCAGAGAUCGUAUUUCGUACCCAAUGCUUAAAAAUUUACCACAGAAAGUUAAAACCAGACUGCUAGAUUUGUACAACAACAUUUUAGACCAGGGUUCAUACCACACACAUGGAAAAGUGCAGUGGUACUUCCGAUUCCUAAGCCGAAUCAAUCUACCUCUAACAGUUCCUGUUACCGAGCUAUAUCCCUUCUUCCGUGCCUGAGUAAAGUUCUUGAGAAAAUGAUUGCAAAACGUAUCAUGUGGUUUACGUUGACAAACGGCUAUAUGGACCCACACCAAGUCGCUUUUAAGGAAGGACACGGUACGAUUGGCGCACUUUUAAUAUUUGAACAUUUUGUAACGACAGCCUUUGCAACAAAAAACCAUGCUUCUAUCCUAAGUCUUGACUUUGAAAAGGCCUACGAUAGAAUCGGUGCGCACAUUGUCCUUCGACAACUUGCCAAGUGGAAGAUUGGAAAAAAAUCUAUGAUUUCGUCAAGGCUUUUUUACACAACCGGCCUUUUUGCGUAAAAAUAAACAAUAAAUUUUCAAAAACUUACA